AAUAUAGAGACUAACUAAUGUAUUAUCCAAAAUACAAGGACCAUGUAGUUAAUUUAAUUAAAAUAGAGAGACUAAUUAAUAAUGUUCGCUCAAGAUAAUCUAAAAUGCAUAAGGAAGUUUAGAUUAAAUCGGAAAAACUAAAACCUAGUUGAAAUAGGAAAACUAAAAGUAAAUCCUAAUUAGAAUAGGUAAAUUAGAAAUAAGUCGUACUUUAAAUAGGAAACAACCUAAAACUAAUUAUACAAUUGUAUUUUAACAAAACAAGAAGUAAAAUUGGGUUUGGACUACUUGAGCAAAUUUCUCGUUGCUGGUCUAGCGGGAAACGCACUGCAUAACGCUCCACAUGAAAAAAGCUCAUCUGCGAGUUAGAGUUCUUCCAGACCAGUCUCCCUCACUUGGAAUAGAACUCGUCAUCAGACUUUAAAGUGUUGAAGAAUUGAGAAUGGAAUGCAGAAAACAAGCAACUCUAUCUUUCUUGAUGGUAGCAACAAGAUUGAAAGACGAUGAACUUCUCACUGUGCUUUUCAUAUUUAAGAGCAUCUGAACAAAUAAAAUCUGCAAAGACAAUAGGAAUUAAAGAGUUGGAAAAUCUUUAUUCUCCAUCAUAUCCGUGACAUGAUUUUCCUCAACUUCCAUUAAUUUUUCCAAGAGG
rnacentral:misc_RNA from 1 species